CAACAGUUUCGUGAUGUUACUUUGAAGAGAAGCUGCACGAGCAGUGGAACGAAAAAAAAGACAUGAAAAAAGUGUCGCUGCUUAACUACUGAAACUGUUCCUGGAGGAAGGAACUUGUGGUGGUAAUGCACCAACCACACAAAAACUUCAAAAAAGAAAGAGGGAACUUUUAAAAAAGAAGAGUUAAAAAAAGGAAACUACCGCGUCGUGACGUCAGACGCCGAAAAGUUGGUCGCGUGCAUCAGCUCCUGUAUUAAAAACGCAGCAAGGCGCUCCAGGAUGGCGUGUUCGACCUGGUCCAGAUUGGUGGCCCGUCCAGAAUGGAACAACCUGCUUCCUGCUCACGGAGACCUGGUCGGACCCGCCAUAUACAAAAGCCUGAGGCUGUCAAAAAAAGAUUGAUCUUCAUGAAGACUGCAAAUAGUAGGUGUCAUGAUUUAAUUCUGGGUGGCCGCCGUGUCCCCACUCUUUCUUGGCCGCUGUGCCUACAUCUCUCUGCAUUGUCCAACAUGGCCACGUUCUUUCUAUUCUCCUGCUUUCCAUCUGUCAAAUAGCUGAGGGUUGUACAUGGAGCAUUUGCCACAGGUUGGUUUUUUUAUGUUCCUGUCCACUUUAUUGGGUGGUCUGAAAUCUGGUCCUUGUUGGUUAUAUUUUUGUGGAACUGCUGAGCAAGUGAUUUGAAAGAAUGAGGUGACUGAUGGAGUGUUUGUAAUUCUCUCUCUGAAUGAAUGGGUUGUGUGUGACUGAGAUGCCUGGAUUGAAUAGUUAAGAUGGUCUGAGAAUAUGAUUAUGUUCAGCAGUUCACAUUAAAAUAGAUAUGGUGUCUUGAAGGGCUUAGCUGCUUGAUAAGUUAUAAUGCACUAACAUUUCCUUUUUAGGUCUGUCUACAAAGGGUGAGUCCAUUUUUUUUUUAUUUCUUUGGCAGAGUAGGGAAAUAAACAAAAGAAAACUUGUGUGUUUUUUUGAAAGUGAACACACCUCUCUAUGGAGGCGUCUUCUUGCCUUCCCACUGUGCCCUUAACCACUUUUUCUUUCCAACUGUUUCUUAAGACGAUAAGUCACACGCAGGCCACGGGCCAUCGCUCUUCUGGCCGCCGUGUCGAUCUGUCCUGGCUCUCUGGCCUUUCCUCACUUCUAAAAGGGAAA